AGGGCACCACCAGGAGUGGAGCCUGCGGCUUAAUUUGACUCAACACGGGAAAACUCACCCGGCCCGGACACUGGAAGGAUUGACAGAUUGAGAGCUCUUUCUUGAUUCAGUGGGUGGUGGUGCAUGGCCGUUCUUAGUUGGUGGAGUGAUUUGUCUGGUUAAUUCCGAUAACGAACGUGACUCUAGCCUACUAAAUAGAUCGUUGGCUUACAAACGCCGAACGAGACUUCUUAGAGGGACAGGCGGUGAUUCAACCGCACGAAACAGAGCAAUAACAGGUCUGUGAUGCCCUUAGAUGUCCGGGGCCGCACGCGCGCUACACUGAAGUGAUCAGCGUGCAUUCUAUGCCUACUCUGUCAAGAGUGGGAAACCCAAUGAACCUUCUUCGUGAUUGGGAUAGGAGAUUGUAAUUAUUCUCCUUGAACGAGGAAUUCCCAGUAAGCGCGAGUCAUAAGCUCGCGUUGAUUACGUCCCUGCCCUUUGUACACACCGCCCGUCGCUACUACCGAUUGAAUGUUU
rnacentral:rRNA from 1 species